rnacentral:rRNA from 1 species
UUGGUUAAGUUAGAAAGGGCGCACGGUGGAUGCCUUGGCACUAGGAGCCGAAGAAGGACGGGACUAACACCGAUAUGCUUUGGGGAGCUGUACGUAAGCGUUGAUCCAGAGAUUUCCGAAUGGGGGAACCCACUAUCUUUAGUCGGAUAGUAUCCUUACGUGAAUACAUAGCGUAAGGAAGGCAGACCCAGGGAACUGAAACAUCUAAGUACCUGGAGGAAGAGAAAGAAAAAUCGAUUUCCUGAGUAGCGGCGAGCGAAACGGAAAGAGCCCAAACCAAGAAGCUUGCUUCUUGGGGUUGUAGGACACUCUAUACGGAGUUACAAAAGAAAGUUAUAAAUGAAGCGGUCUGGAAAGGCCCGCCAAAGACGGUAACAGCCCGGUAGUUGAAAUGGCUUUCCCUCCAGAGUGGAUCCUGAGUACGGCGGAACACGUGAAAUUCCGUCGGAAUCCGGGAGGACCAUCUCCCAAGGCUAAAUACUCCCUAGUGACCGAUAGUGAACCAGUACCGUGAGGGAAAGGUGAAAAGCACCCCGGAAGGGGAGUGAAACAGUUCCUGAAACCGUGUGCCUACAAGUAGUUAGAGCCCGUUAAUGGGUGAUAGCGUGCCUUUUGUAGAAUGAACCGGCGAGUUACGAUUUGUUGCAAGGUUAAGCGGAAAAAGCGGAGCCGUAGCGAAAGCGAGUCUGAAUAGGGCGCAUAAGUAACAGGUCGUAGACCCGAAACCAGGUGAUCUACCCAUGUCCAGGAUGAAGGUAAGGUAAUACUUACUGGAGGUCCGAACCCACGCACGUUGAAAAGUGCGGGGAUGAGGUGUGGGUAGCGGAGAAAUUCCAAUCGAACUUGGAGAUAGCUGGUUCUCUCCGAAAUAGCUUUAGGGCUAGCCUCGAGGUAAAGAGUCAUGGAGGUAGAGCACUGUUUGGACUAGGGGCCCUUCUCGGGUUACCGAAUUCAGAUAAACUCCGAAUGCCAUGUACUUAUACUCGGGAGUCAGACUGCGAGUGAUAAGAUCCGUAGUCGAAAGGGAAACAGCCCAGACCACCAGUUAAGGUCCCCAAAUAUAUGUUAAGUGGAAAAGGAUGUGGGGUUGCUUAGACAACCAGGAUGUUGGCUUAGAAGCAGCCACCAUUGAAAGAGUGCGUAAUAGCUCACUGGUCGAGUGACCCCGCGCCGAAAAUGUACCGGGGCUAAACAUAUUACCGAAACUGUGGAUGAACCUCAUUAGAGGUUCGUGGUAGGAGAGCGUUCUAAGGGCGGUGAAGUCAGACCGGAAGGACUGGUGGAGCGCUUAGAAGUGAGAAUGCCGGUAUGAGUAGCGAAAGAAGGGUGAGAAUCCCUUCCACCGAAUAUCUAAGGUUUCCUGAGGAAGGCUCGUCCGCUCAGGGUUAGUCGGGACCUAAGCCGAGGCCGAUAGGCGUAGGCGAUGGACAACAGGUAGAGAUUCCUGUACCAGUGCUAAUUGUUUAACCGAUGGGGUGACACAGAAGGAUAGGGAAUCGCACGAAUGGAAAUGUGCGUCCAAGCAGUGAGUGUGAGAAGUAGGCAAAUCCGCUUCUCGCGAAGCAUGAGCUGUGAUGGGGAAGGAAAUUAAGUACGGAAGUUCCUGAUUUCACGCUGUCAAGAAAAGCCUCUAGGAAGAGUAGUACUGCCCGUACCGC